rnacentral:rRNA from 1 species
CACGUAGGGUGCGAGCGUUGUCCGGAAUUAUUGGGCGUAAAGAGCUCGUAGGCGGUCCGUCACGUCGGAUGUGAAAUUCCAGGGCUCAACCCUGGACCUGCAUUCGAUACGGGCGGACUAGAGUUCGGUAGGGGAGACUGGAAUUCCUGGUGUAGCGGUGAAAUGCGCAGAUAUCAGGAGGAACACCGAUGGCGAAGGCAGGUCUCUGGGCCACUACUGACGCUGAGAAGCGAAAGCAUGGGGAGCGAACAGG